CCUACGGGUGACAGCAGUAGGGAAUCUUUCACAAUGGGCGAAAGCCUGAUGGAGCAACGCCGCGUGCAGGAUGAAGGCCUUCGGGUUGUAAACUGCUUUUAUAAGCGAGAAAUAUGAUGGUAACUUAUGAAUAAGGAUCGGCGAAAUACGUGCCAGCAGCCGCGGUCAUACGUAGGAUCCGAGCAUUAUCCGGAGUGACUGGGUGUAAAGAGUUGCGUAGGUGGCAUAAUAAGUAGCGAGUGAAAUCUGGUGGCUAAACCAUUCAGACUAUUAGCUAAACUGUUAAGCUCGAGACCGUUAGGGGGAACUGGAAUUUCUAGUGUAGGAGUGAAAUCCGUAGAUAUUAGAAGGAACACCAAUAGCGUAGGCAGGUUGCUGGGACGGUUCUGACACUAAGGCACGAAAGCGUGGGUAGCGAACAGGAUUAGAUACCCUUGUAGUC
rnacentral:rRNA from 1 species